AGAAUCUUCUCCGGGGUGUGUUAAGAUGAAGUAUCUGCAGAGAUGGGUUACAUGAGGAUUAGAGUUUCUGGCCAUGUAUAGUGGGACGCAAGUAAAUUGACAGAUUAUGUUUCUUCGUACCGAAUGAUCCUCGGACAGAGUAGUGAGAUUAUCUAAGGACGAAGGUGAGUAACAUUAUUUCACUUGAUUGGAUAGACCAAUGGUUGGUUUUCGUGGUGAUCAAAAGGAAUUCGAGGACGAAUUCUAUUUAAGGGGGGAAGAAUGUAACAUCUCUAUUUCUCAAAACAAGAAUAAAUAGUGAGACCUUAUGACAACUUAGUGUCAAUAUAACACUAAGCAUUAUUGAGAAAUUUCUAAGAAAAGAUUUUUAUUUAGAAUGGUUAGAAUCAAGAGUUUGGUUAGAAAUGAACUAGAUGGCAAAGUGGUAAAUACCACUUAGUUGGAGGAUAAAAGAGACCAUAAACAUCACUUGCAUGUGAACAUAAGGCCAUGUUUGGUGGAAGACUUACAAAAAUCAGAAUUUAUGAGAAAAGAGCUUAAGAGCAUGGAGGAGAAAGAAGAGCUUAUGUUCAUCCUUUGCAUUUUCGCAACCCAUGGACAGCCUCCACUAAAAGUGCCAUAACUCUCUGCUCACAGCUCCGAUUGAGGUUUGAAGUGGAGUGAUCCAUGCUGAGUUUGUGUGUGAAUGCAGCUGCGAAUUUGAUGAUGAAGAAGGUGAACCUUUGGGCAAGAGUGGAGUUCAAAGGCUGCAUUAACACCAUCUAAACCUCUAUUAAUCCAAGGUGCAGUUAGUAGCGUUUGGUCAGUAACAGGUUUGGACUGGAGACUUGGAAGUGGUGUUGGCUCGAAGACCUCGUUGGUUUUGACAUUCCGCUGUGCAAGAUCCAUUGAAGACACAUGUUUUGUAAUUAUUAUUAUUAUUUCAUGUUGUAAUCUAAAUGGAUCAUCUUGUAUCCAUAGCUUUUGUAUGUACUCAAUAUCAAUUUUAACGUU